rnacentral:lncRNA from 1 species
UUAGAAAAUAUGUAUCGAGUAAAAUGAUAUUAAACGGUGUAACAAUGGUGUAACAUUACAUUCGUGUGUGUGUAUAUAUAUAAAAUUUACACUAUUUUUUUAAGAGGUUAAAAUUGAAUAAAAUGAUCAAACAACAUUGUUUUCCUAUCACAAUAUGUGUCAGAAAAACUAAGGAAAAAAUGUUUCAGUUACAACAAAGGACAAAACAAAAGCGGCAAAAAAGGCCGAAAACAAGCAUUACAAAGCACCUCUUAAACACAAUAGAGGAUUGAGCCACCACAUGUUAUAAUGAAAAGAAAAGUGAGCAUGAUGCAAUCCUUCGGCCUACAAAAAGAUUGAAUCUUGAUUUUGUCAAGAAGAUGUUGCAAAGUUUCCUCCUUAUGCUGAAAAUCAAAAGACUCGAACAGUAGAAAGUCAAAUCAAAAGAAAAAAUGAUCGAAUAUUUUUUGAGAAACUUCCAAAUAUAAUGCAUCAAAUUGAAUUAAAUGGUCUGAGACACUGACGAGAUUGACCAUGAAGAAGUCUAACGAAUUUAAGACACCACUCCAAAUAUGAGUGAAAAAUUCGCAAUAAAUAAAGAGAUGAUUCACAUCCUCAACUUUUCCAUACAUUCCCACUAAAAGUUGUGUGUUAGCCAUAUCACCCAUCCUCCUAAUUAAAUUACCACUCGUAGGGAUACAAUUACGAAGAAGACGCCACACGAAGAUACUUACUUUCAAAGAAACCUCUUUACACAAAGAUAUUAUUAUUAGCCAUUUAAAUUAUCAAGGGGGUAAGCAACCAUCAUUCGCUUGAUUUUGAACAAAAAAAAAAAAACAAUUCUUUACUAUAUGUUAAAACUAGUUAUAAC